GAUGAACGCUGGCGGCGUGCCUAAUACAUGCAAGUCGAACGCACAGCGAAAGGUGCUUGCACCUUUCAAGUGAGUGGCGAACGGGUGAGUAACACGUGGAUAACCUACCUCAAGGUUGGGGAUAACAUUUGGAAACAGAUGCUAAUACCGAAUAAAACUUACGUAUCGCAUGAUACAAGGUUAAAAGGCGCUACGGCGUCACCUAGAGAUGGAUCCGCGGUGCANAGUUAGU
rnacentral:rRNA from 1 species